rnacentral:lncRNA from 1 species
UAGUUAUCAUUAGUGACAUAGUGUCAUUAGUGCCUAAUUUCCUGCCUAGAAGAUUUGUAGCUUUGCUUUAAAUAGCAGAGGUGCCUGAGCCUCUGUGAAGGAUGCCCAUGACUGGGACGAGAGCAGCACUGUCCUUCCAGCUGUUGGUGACCAUUGGCAAUUCCCUCAUACGUUUUUUCAGCUCCUAUCACUGAUCAGGACUGAACACGUGGAUUAUCUGAUCUCCUGUGGUUGUUGAGGGAAUC